CAUGGACAAUGCGUUCGACAUCAGCAAUCUGCGGCACUCUUUGGCCCAACGAAAGAGAGAUACAGAGAUUGAACUCAAAAGGAUUAACAGGCUCAAAGACAAAUUCAAGGUAAUACAUCAGCAACUUAGUUCGUGUC